rnacentral:rRNA from 1 species
CUUUACUGUAGCUUUGCAUUGGACUUUGAACCGGUCUGUGUAGGAUAGGUGGGAGACUGUGAAGCCGGAACGCUAGUUUCGGUGGAGUCAACCUUGAAAUACCACCCUGGUUUGUUUGAGGUUCUAACCUUGGUCCGUGAAUCCGGACCGGGGACCGUGCAUGGUAGGCAGUUUGACUGGGGCGGUCUCCUCCCAAAAGGUAACGGAGGAGUACGAAGGUACGCUUAGGGCGGUCGGACAUCGCCCACAAAGUGCAAUGGCAAAAGCGUGCUUGACUGCGAGACCCACAAGUCGAGCAGGUACGAAAGUAGGUCAUAGUGAUCCGGUGGUUCUGUAUGGAAGGGCCAUCGCUCAACGGAUAAAAGGUA